UACAGAGACUGCAAGCGUUAUUCGGAUUCACUGGGCGUAAAGGGUGCGUAGGUGGUGGGGUAAGUCGGAUGUGAAAUCCCGGGGCUCAACCCCGGAACUGCAUUCGAUACUGCCUUGCUCGAGUACUGGAGAGGAGACUGGAAUUUACGGUGUAGCAGUGAAAUGCGUAGAUAUCGUAAGGAAGACCAGUGGCGAAGGCGAGUCUCUGGACAGUUACUGACACUGAGGCACGAAGGCCAGGGGAGCAAACGGG
rnacentral:rRNA from 1 species